rnacentral:rRNA from 1 species
CCUUACCGUGGGUUUGACAUGCGACGGACCCCGAUGAAAGUCGGGGGUGCCCCGUAAGGGGAACUUGGACACAGGUGCUGCAUGGUUGUCGUCAGCUCGUGCCGUGAGGUGUUGGGUUAAGUCCCGCAACGAGCGCAACCCUCAUCCUUAGUUGCCAUCAUUAAGUUGGGCACUCUAAGGAAACUGCCGCAGUUAAUGCGGAGGAAGGUGGGGAUGACGUCAAGUCCUCAUGGCCCUUAUAUCCAGGGCUACACACGUGCUACAAUGAGCGGCACAAAGGGUCGCAAACCCGCGAGGGGGAGCUAAUCCCACAAAUCCGCUCCUAGUUCGGAUUGGAGUCUGCAACCCGACUCCAUGAAGCUGGAAUCGCUAGUAAUCGCGGAUCAGCAUGCCGCGGUGAAUACGUUCCCGGGCCUU